rnacentral:rRNA from 1 species
UACAGAGGCUCCAAGCAUUAUCCGGAAUCACUGGGCGUAAAGGGUGUGUAGGCGGUCAUAUUAGUCUUUCGUGAAAGCUCUUCGGCUUAACCGAGGAAACGCGGGGGAAACGGUAUGGCUACGAGGACGUAAGAGGUAAAGGGAACUCAUGGUGUAGGGGUGAAAUCCGUUGAUAUCAUGGGGAACACCAAAUGCGAAGGCAACUUUACUGGUACGCUCCUGACGCUGAAACACGAAAGCGUGGGAAUCGA